rnacentral:rRNA from 1 species
AGAGAAUAGAUACCCCGGUAGUCCACGCCGUAAACGAUGGAUGCUAGCUGUUAUGAGUAUCGACCCUCGUAGUAGCGUAGCUAACGCGUUAAGCAUCCCGCCUGUGGAGUACGGUCGCAAGACUAAAACAUAAAGGAAUUGACGGGGACCCGCACAAGCGGUGGAGCGUGUUGUUUAAUUCGAUGGUAAGCGAAGAACCUUACCCAGGCUUGACAUCCUGCCAAGUUCGCCGAAAGGCGAGUGUGCCUUCGGGCCGCAGUGACAGGUGAUGCAUGGCCGUCGUCAGCUCGUGCCGUGAGAUGUUUGGUUAAGUCCAUCAACGAGCGCAACCCUUAUAGUUAGUUGUAUUUCUCUAGCUAGACUGCCCUGGUAACAGGGAGGAAGGGGGGGAUGAUGUCAGGUCAGUAUUUCCCUUACGUCUGGGGCUACAAACACGCUACAAUGGCCGGUACAAAGGGCUGCCAACCCGCGAGGGGGAGCAAAUCCCAUCAAAGCCGGUCUCAGUUCGGAUUGCAGGCUGAAACUCGCCUGC